UACGAAGGGGGCUAGCGUUGUUCGGAAUUACUGGGCGUAAAGCGCGCGCAGGCGGUCUUCCAAGUCAGUGGUGAAAGCCCGGAGCUCAACUCCGGAACUGCCAUUGAAACUGUUGGACUUGAGUACGAGAGAGGUGAGUCGGAAUCCCAGUGUAGAGGUGAAAUUCGUAGAUAUUGGGAAGAACACCGGUGGCGAAGGCGGCUCACUGGCUCGUAACUGACGCUCAGGCGCGACAGCGUGGGGAUCAAACAGG
rnacentral:rRNA from 1 species